CUGGUCACCACCACACACUCAAGUCAGCAAAAGGAAAAGCCUGUUUCACUUAAGAAGUUCCUUUAUGAGGUAGUAAAAAUGCUGAUUUUCUUAAAUAUUGACUCUUGAAUACCUGUCGUUUUAACAUUCUUUGUGACAAAAUAAAACCAAGAAUCUGUGAUGGGUUUAUUGUUAUACACACAAGGCACCUGUGCCGCAUUCUAAGUGCAAUGAUUGGCUCAAGGACAGGUGUUUAUGUGAUUGAUUUGAGUGAUGAAUUAGUCACUUUUUUCGUGGAACAGACUUUUUACUCGAAAGAUGACUCACAGACAAACUAUGGUUGUCAGACUUCAGUGUGUAGUAGCAUUUUCUCAAUAAGAAGCCAAGUGGGUCUCUCACUUCAAGGAAAUCAGCUGUUAACAUUUGUUGUCAAUGAUGAAAUUUGAACUUUCAAGUGAAAAUUCAAAUUUUGGAAACUGUAUCCUCCUCUGCAAACACGCACAGCUUUCGGAUUCUUAAGGACUUUUCCGAUGAGAUCUGUGGUGAUACUAAAAAUGUGAUGUGGUGUUUUGAUGUCACAUAAGGAAAUGCGUCAACUCUUGGAAGACUUGUAAAAUCAGAGAACAAAUAUUUUGUAAAUGACCAACUCAAGAUAUUACAAAAUCGUGCAGGUGUAAAAGAUCCAUUCAAAGUGCAAAAAAGACCAAUAGAUUUUAAUGUGACAGAAUAAGAAAAAGUCGUUGAUAUGGCUUCAGAUUCAUAUUUGAAAAAAUGAAAAAUAAUGGCACUCUUCUCUUAAAUAUUUUUUGAAAAUAAAGAUUUUUUAAUGUAAAAAUAUGUUAAUAUGCAAUGGGUUUGUUAUUAUUUUAAAAUUGAUUAGUAAAUAGAUAUUUUAAAAAUUUAUCAGUUUCAAUUCCUAAUAUGGUAAAUAUUGACAUAACAACAACUUUGGCAGAGUGUAAAGGAAUCUGAAGACUGAAAAUUUGAGAACCGCAGACCUAGAACAAUUGUGGUAAGUAAUUCCAUUCCCUUAAAAGUGAUUGGUUUAGGAGCGUGCACGUGACUUAUUUGUCCAAUGACACAAGAGGAAAUUUCCUGCUUUAAAAUAUCUGGAAGGGGUUUUCCUUCUCUUUAA
rnacentral:lncRNA from 1 species